rnacentral:pre_miRNA from 10 species
AUUGGCCAGUCGUGAACACGGUUCUGGCGCUGAUUGUCCAAACGCAGUUCUUGUUCUCAUGUUUGUCGUCAAGAACUGUGUGUGGACGUCAGUGGCUUUACGUUCGCUCUACAUUCGCCAGAU